ensembl:lncRNA
UUUUAGAGACUGGUUACCUAAACUGUUAACCAAAUUAAGGCCUUUAUUAUUAAUUCAGUUAAAAUGAGUGUAAGUGUAUAACAUCUUCAGAACAAUUUAUGCCAAAGAAUUAAGCAGGCUGAAAUGAAUGGAAAGCUACUUAUUUCCUGUAACUGUACUCACACUUUAUAUUUAAUUUAUACAACUUUUAAAAACCAAUUUCUACAAGUCAGAUCUUUCAACAUUUUCAUUUUCUUGCCAUCUGCUGCUUUGUAAACCAGCCAUUUAAUAUGAAAACUUGCUCAGAAGCUGUACUUUUAAUGCACUUACUAGCUCAUCAGAUGAUAUCUCUAAUUGAGCUGUUUGCUCCUCAAUUGGAGGCAAGUGCAAGUUGCUGGUCUGUUUUCUCGGCUUUCCUGGUGGACUUGAGCCAAAGGAAUUCUUCAUAUGUUGGGAAGAUGAUGAGCUCUUCGUGAAAUGAAUUGAAUUCCCUCACCCGCAUUUUUCCAUUUGUCCUUUGACUCUACUUGUGGUAUGUGUGCGUGCUAAGUUGCUUCAGUUGUGUUGGACUCUUUGCGACCCUAUGGACAGUAGCCUGCCAGGCUGCUCUGUCCAUGGGAUUCUCUAGGAAAGAACACUGGAGUGGGUUUCCAUGCCCUCCUUCAGGGAAUCUUCCCUACCCAGGGACUGAACCUGCGUCUCUUAUGUCUCCUGCAUUGGCAGGCAGUUUCUUUGCACUAGCACCACCUGGGAAGCCCACUUAUGGUAUAUUUUUGCCUUAUGAAAGGUUUUACUUUUAAAGAAGUAGAUUUAUAAAUGUGUCAGUGUUUCUAGUAUGGAUUCUAAAAGAUUUUGAAAUGCAUGAAAGUAAAGAAGAAUUUUUUACUAUUAUUAUUCCAAACACCAUCUUCCACAACUACUUCUGUCUCCCAAGGGAGUGGCAUUCUUUCUCUUCAAAGUAGAUUUUUUGGUAAUCUCCCUAAUGAAUCCUGUAAUGUGAAAAGAUAAACCUCAGAGGAGUAAGGUGAAGAGAGGAGAAAUAAUUUGCUCUGCACAAUGAAGUAAAAAUUGUACAUUUCCAGGAAUACUUCAAAUAGGGACUCAAGGGAGGAACUGAGAACUGACCAAUAUGCUAAGUGGCCAGUGAGCCAGGAGCAGGAGACCAAUGGAGGAUUUCCAGGUGGGGAGGGGGUUGUUAAAGGCGGGGUGGGGGAUGUGCAGUUUUAUGUCCCUGCUAUGCUGCGCUACAGUGUAACCCCUGCAUUACUUCCAACCACAAAGUGCGGACAGACAAGCCAAAAUGAAGAGAAUGGGGUGAAAUGGGAGCAAGAGAGUAGAGGCCCCAAACAAAUUUUCAGAGAGUCAGGUGAGAGGCUGCAGCCAGGGUGACUCAGAAGUUAUUCAGGAGACAAAUUCUUUCCCCCAAAUAGCCUAGAGCCAUCAUUUGCCAAACUCGGUUAUACAUUAGAAUCACUAGCAGGAGGUUUUCAGAAUCACAAACACCUGAAUUUCACCCAGACCAAUUAAAUGAGAGGCUCUGUAGGUGGGACCCAAGCUUCAGGAGGCUUUAGAAAGUUUCCCAGGUGAUUCUGACAUACAACCAGGGUUGAAAACUGCUGUUCUAGGUCAGUGCUUCCCAAACUAUUUCAAGUAUGCAAAUAAAUCAUCCAAGAAUAGUUAUAAUUCA